AGCAGAAGAAGAAGAAUAAGC
rnacentral:sRNA from 1 species